rnacentral:rRNA from 1 species
GAUGAACGCUGGCGGCGUGCCUAAUACAUGCCAGUCGAGCGAACGGACGAGAAGCUUGCUUCUCUGAUGUUAGCGGCGGACGGGUGAGUAACACGUGGAUAACCUACCUAUAAGACUGGGAUAACUUCGGGAAACCGUAGCUAAUACCGGAUAAUAUUUUGAACCGCAUGGUUCAAAAGUGAAAGACGGUCUUGCUGUCACUUAUAGAUGGAUCCGCGCUGCAUUAGCUAGUUGGUAAGGUAACGGCUUACCAACGCAACGAUGCAUAGCCGACCUGAGAGGGUGAUCGGCCACACUGGAGCUGAGACACGGUCCAGACUCCGACGGGAGGCAGCAGUAGGGAAUCGUCCGCGAUGGGCGAAAGCCUGACGGAGCGACGCCGCGUGAGUGAUGAAGGGCUUCGGAUCGUAAAACUCUGUUAUUAGGGAAGAACAUAUGUGUAAGUAACGGUGCACAUCUGGACGGUACCUAAUCAGAAAGCCACGGCUAACUACGU